GCGCGGCCCGUCACCGCCCUAGCUGUGCGCACGCGCACGGCCACAGUUCCCCCCCCCCCCCCGGGCAGCGCUCCCAGGGUGGUGGUGGGGGGAGCACGGCGUGCCGCUGACGUCACCGCGCACACGUCGCGGAGCGAGGCCGGGCCGCGCAUUUGAGAAAGCAGCAGCUCAGACAGGAUGAUCAUGAUCUGAAGACAAAAUUCAGACUGGAGUAAGAAGGAUACCACUGAAUCAUGGAAGUGCAACGACAGGCUAGAAUAAGGCGGCACCUGACAGCCAGGAGACAACUGUCAGGAGAAAUGUCCAGGCCCUGUAUAAAACAGAUGAAAAAUAACAAUGGAGCCACUCCAUACUCUGGAUUUUCUUUCAAGAACCUGCACAAAUCCUUCAGAGGGGGAGCAAAGGCACCCCCAACCUGGGAAGCAGAAGACAGAAGUCAGGAAACACUUCUUAUUCGUAAGAAGAAAAGGCAACAUUCACACCUGACACUGUUUCAUUUUUUGCCUUUUAUACAGAACAAUACAAAUAAAGUCUCACUUGAAAUUA